AGUAAAAGUCGUAACAAGGUUUCCGUAGGUGAACUGCGGAAGGAUCAUUAUCGAAUUUCGUUAAGGGGAGAGAGGGAGGGAAGACUCGGACGGAACAGUGGGAUACUGUCGCUGGCUUUCUCUUUUCGGAGGGGAAUGCAUGUGCACGUUCUCGCUCAAAGUCUUGGUGGACCCCCUUCUCUUCCCAUACACACACACCUGUGCACCAUUUGUAGGCCCUCGAAAGAGGAUCCUAUGUUUUUUCAUAUUAAACCCCAAUGUAUGUCAUAGAAUGUAACACAUUAUUGAGAACGCCCCAGUCGGGUGGGAUCAAUAAGAUAUAAAGAAAUACAACUUUCAGCAACGGAUCUCUUGGCUCUCGCAUCGAUGAAGAACGCAGCGAAUUGCGAUAAGUAAUGUGAAUUGCAGAUUUCCAGUGAAUCAUCGAAUCUUUGAACGCACCUUGCGCUCCUUGGUAUUCCGAGGAGCAUGCCUGUUUGAGUGUCAUUGAAUUCUCAACCAUGUCUUGAUUGAGUUUCGAGCACAUGGCUUGGAGUUGGGAGUUGCUGGCAGCCUAGGCAGUCAGCUCUCCUGAAAUGUAUUAGCGAUGGGAUCGGCUGGUCUGUGGACAUGCACGGCCUUGGACGUGAUAAUGAUCGUCGGGGCUGGAGUGUCUCAGAAAAGGACCAUGCAUGAUUUCGAUCGCUUCAAAUCAGGGACUGGAUUCUCUUGUCCAAGACCCUUAGCCAAAAGUCAAGCUUAGCUACUAGGCUUGGUCGUGAGACCAGGGCGAACGCGGCUGGACAGAAGCAAGGACUAGACUUUCGAGAUGACAUCCAUUCGAAAACUUGACCUCAAAUCNNGUAGGACUACCCGCUGAACUUAAGCAUAUCA
rnacentral:rRNA from 1 species